rnacentral:rRNA from 1 species
CACGUAGGGCGCAAGCGUUGUCCGGAAUUAUUGGGCGUAAAGAGCUCGUAGGCGGGUCUGUUGCGUCCGCUGUGAAAACUCGGGGCUUAACCCCGAGCCUGCAGUGGAUACGGGCAGACUAGAGGUAGGUAGGGGAGAAUGGAAUUCCCGGUGUAGCGGUGAAAUGCGCAGAUAUCGGGAGGAACACCGGUGGCGAAGGCGGUUCUACUGG